CUGAGAGGAAGUCUGGCCUAUAAAGGGAAGACAAGGUGACACAUCUGUUUUCUUCCAUCAAGCUUGGAGAGCCAUGAAGGUGGCUUCGUACUGCUGUUUGUCUUGUUUCUACAACACCUUCUUUUCAUCUACUGGGCAUGGUAAUGAAAGCCUACUUGGGAAUGGUACUUGAAAAACCAAAAAGCAGACCAUCCCAGCUGACACCAGAAACACCAAUGCGCAGAAGAGGGAUAAUGGCAGCACUGACCUCUUGUGAGGCUGCACUGAUCUACAUGGGCUGAAGAUCCAUCCUCCCAGUCACCUCUGGUAUGCUGCUGGUUAAUGCUAGCAGGGCAUCUGCGUCUCCUGUAAAGGAACAACACCUCUGGGCUCUCUCUUAGCAUUUCAAAGAGCACAGGCAUAUGCCGCAAUUAUAUAGUGCUGCUGAGAAAAAAAACAGCAUGUGAGUGAAUCCCUGUUGUUAGCAGAGCAGUGCUGGGGCUCACACAAGCAAUCCACCAGGGCUCUGCUGCAAAUGGCUACCGCUGCCCUUCCCUUGCUCCUACCCAAUGACUAGAGAUCGCAUCCUGCUCUACUGUUCUCCAGCAGCCUGAGAAAGACCAGGCACAAAAAAAUUGUCAGCCAGAUUGGCCCUGACAUGCAUCAUAUGCUUUUCUGCACCCGUGAACUGCCUGCUUCUCUCACCAGCCUUUCUGUGGUUCAUCCUGAAAAGCAGGUGCGUUAGCAUCUUUGUGUAAAGCUGAGGAGGCAAUAAACAGUCAGAUUUGCCAGGUAUAGCUGUUGUUCACUGAGAGGAGGGAUCAGAGGAUUUUCUCUGCACCUCUCUCCUUCUCGCCACCUGUCCUGAAUGUGUCAUACAGUGGCUAUAAAGGACUUCUUGUAAAUAAUUUCCCUGCAGUUGGAAGAUGCCCCAGAGCUCACAUUACUCACACUUGUUAAAGCCGAGCAGAGAGCAGAAUAUCCCUCCACUGUCAUGAGUCUUUGGACUGGCUUUCCUCACACUGUAGCCAGCUAACUCCACAUUUCCAGAUGAAGAAGAUUCUCACAUGUUCCAGAAAGGCUCCUGAGCCCUAUUCCUGCUCCUCCAAGCUACAGAGACUUGUAGGAUGGAGUAAAUCUCCCUUUUUCUACCAUACAGUUUUGGACAUGCUAAAAUUGGUCUAUAAAAUUUAGGACUAAUGAUCCAGUUUCCAACUUUAUAUUUCUUUAAUUUAUCUAUGUACAGAUAAGUUAUGGCACUGAGAUCCUUAACUAGUGCAUAUGGAAGCCACAGGCAGUUGUUAGGUGCCUGUGCUGAGUCAAAUGCCUAAAUACUUAAAGGGCAUCUAAGGUGUAUGCUUGUUCAGGUUAAAAUGUGCUCAGCUGCAGAGUCAAACAGCAUCUGGUGCAAUUUAACCUUGAUCACAAGCUGCCUUGUGAGAGAAGGCACUGGUUGCAUUCCUGUUAUUGUGUGCCAAUAAUACUAUAUAACUAAUAAAUAUAUUUCCUCUUACUGGGCUAUUAAGUAGCUAUUUUCCUCUGAGUUUGAUCCUUACUCGGGACACAAAACUUAAGGGCAAAGUGUUAUCAUUGCUAAACAUCAGUGAAGAGAUUACCUUUCUAUAAAGUAAUCUCAUCUCUGCCCUGAGUCAAGAACCUGAGCAUGGCAUUGCACAUCACUCUCCGGUUCUGCCAUCCAGGUUCAAUCUGACUCCUUGCCACUGCCAUUUUGAGUGUAAAAGCACUUCUUGUGAGAACAUAAAUUGGAUCCCCACAGCUACAGGAAAGACACGAGAACCCACUGUGACUGUACAGCCCUGCUCUGCCAUUUUCAUCUCCUACCAAUGUGUCUCCUGAAAAGUACUGCUGCUGCGGGGAGGACAACUGUGGUUCAGACAGAAACAGGAGGAAGACAAAAGGGUGAGGUUUGACAUGAAGAAAUAUUCUCCGGAAGGGGGGAUCCCAGGGAUGUCUGCAUGCAAAAAGAUACAAGCCACUGUCUGCAUGAGAACAAGGAAGAUAAUGAGUGGAGUAAGACAAGGAUCAAAGGCAAAGAUAGACCAGACUGCUUGUUUGCCACCCCAGCACCUAGAUGAGCACUGAGGGAGAUCUAGCUUCUGACACGAGGAAUGCAAACUCUACUUGGUCUGUAGUAUCCAGUACAGCCAUAUCUCAUAUGAGGUCAGAAAUCUGAACUUGCUCUAACAAAUGUGCAGAUUAGAAUCAUGGGAAAUUAUAGUAAUAUGCAAGAUGAGUACCUCUGAAUACUAAAUUGAAGCGCACCAUUGGAAUAAUACUAUCAUAACAAAACCCAGUGAAAUGUGCAGCUUUUUGAAUAAUAUCAUUCUCCAAUUUAGAUCCAAGAACAACUUCUCAUUAUCCAGCCCUUCUUCUCAGUACCCCCUGUGAAGAGACGAGCCGGGAAUGUGAAAGAACAAAAAGGCUGAGAUCACAGUGAGCAUAUGCCUGUGGUUGUUUAAGGCUGUUCACAAAUUGGUUAAUAAGCUUUGCGUUAUGGUUUUAUUUUAUUUUAACCUGUUCCAUAUAUCAAGUUUUGUAAUGUACCAUUCAAGUCCAAUUUACAC
rnacentral:lncRNA from 7 species